UACGGAGGAUGCAGGCGUUAUCCGGAAUGAUUGGGCGUAAAGCGUCCGCAGGUGGCUGUGUAAGUCUGCUGUCAAAGAGCAAAGCUCAACUUUGUAAAGGCAGUGGAAACUACACGGCUAGAGUGCGUUCGGGGCAGAGGGAAUUCCUGGUGUAGCGGUGAAAUGCGUAGAGAUCAGGAAGAACACCGGUGGCGAAGGCGCUCUGCUAGGCCGCAACUGACACUGAGGGACGAAAGCUAGGGGAGCGAAUGGG
rnacentral:rRNA from 1 species